UCGCCCAAAGAGGAGCUCGCGUCCGAUUAGCUAGUUGGUGGGGUAAGAGCUUACCAAGGCAGCGAUCGGUAGCUGGUCUGAGAGGAUGAGCAGCCACACUGGGACUGAGACACGGCCCAGACUCCUACGGGAGGCAGCAGUGGGGAAUUUUCCGCAAUGGGCGCAAGCCUGACGGAGCAAUACCGCGUGAGGGAGGAAGGCCUUUGGGUUGUAAACCUCUUUUCUCAGGGAAGAAGCCAGUGACGGUACCUGAGGAAUCAGCAUCGGCUAACUCCGUGCCAGCAGCCGCGGUAAUACGGAGGAGGCAAGCGUUAUCCGGAAUCAUUGGGCGUAAAGCGUCCGCAGGUGGUGUAUCAAGUCUGCGGUUAAAGACCGGAGCUCAACUCCGGAAAGGCGGUGGAAACUGAAAGGCUAGAGUCCGGUAGGGGUAGAGGGAAUUCCCAGUGUAGCGGUGAAAUGCGUAGAUAUUGGGAAGA
rnacentral:rRNA from 1 species